GUGAAACCCCAUCUCUACAAAAAAUUUAAAAAUUAGCCUAGUGGGGUGUUGCAUGCCUGUAGUCCCAGCUACUCAGGGCCCCCACACCACAACCUGGAAGCUCUUCACACAGGAAGCUGAGCAGUUGGGGCCUGUUUGUCUCCCAUCUUUCUGAGAUUCACUGUCUUUCAUAGCCCAGUACUCAGUGCUUCGAAAACUGUUGCUUCGUAUAUUUUGCCUGAUUUUGUGGUUAUUUCAGGCAGAAAGUUAAUACAGUUCUUGUACUGUGUCUUGACUAGAAACGAGUCCCACCUGAACUCUCAGAGGUCUUUGGUUUAAUAAAAUAUGAUACCUUACAGCUAAAGCUUCUUACUACUCUUUUCCUGGAGAUUUGGCUGUCUGAUAUCUGCUGCCUCAUUAUUUUUACUUAAAAAGGCGGAAUUACUUUGCAACACCUUGUACACAGUGAUAUGUCUUAUAAAACAAUCACUAGAUAUUAUGAACAAUGUUUGUAGGUGCCUUAGGUGUCUGUCUUGAAACCCUGAGAACUAGGAGUGCUUACCCCAAAAUGACAGUCACUGGUUCCUCCUUGGAAUGAGACAUCGCAAAUUCCAGGGGCAUCUCUGGAGGUGCUGCCCCACCAGGGGAUAUGUGGAAUCAGUUGAUUCACUUACUUGUGAUCAUCUCUCCACGCACAGGUGGGCUUCUGGCCUCUCACAGAGUCUGAAGCAUGAGCUGCCUCAGAUCUAUUGGAAGCAAAUGGGAUAGAAAUCUAAGAAAAGCAAAUGUGAAAUUACUGAUGUCUGAUCAAGCAGGCAAUACAUUUGACUUGGUGUUUCAAAAUAAAGUCUCAGUUUUUGUAUAGGUGGGGUGGUGUAUACUUUGCCAAAGAAUCUUAUGUGAAAGGACCAAUUCUCACCCAAGUUUGAAAGGUUUGGUUUCGUGUUUGGUUUUUGGUUUUGCUCACUCUCCCUCUACGUCUAAACACCUUAGGAGUCCUGUCACUUACACUUUUUGGGCCUCAGCUGGCCUGUUGUUUCUGUUUGUUACUUUGUUUUUAUCAUUUUCCUCCUGUAGUGUGUAGAGGAGAAUGUUGUGAAGGCAUGGAUCUUUUCCAUUGAACGACCUGAAUUUCGGUCUGUAAUAACUAACUCCUGAAGAAAGUGCAUCUUCUGUGUCUUGUGUCUCUAUGUUUUAGUCCUGCUUGUUGCUAAAUGAGACAACAGAAAACUGAAGACUGCAUUUCUAGAAAGGUUUCAGAGAAAGGCUGUGUUUUGAUUUAGAACUGGUUUUUUUGUUUUUUGUUGCACAAAAACAAACCUCUCAGGCCCUUUAAAAAAAAAGAGAGAGAGAGGUGUGGCCUCCCUAUGUUGUCCAGGCUCCUUGGGAACUCCUGGACUCAAACAGUCCUCCUGCCUUGGCCUCCCGAAGUGCUGGGAUUCCAGGCGUGAGCCAUUGCACCCGGCUGACAUGCAAGUUCUGAGGAAAGCCAGGCUGUCUUUCUUGAGUCACGGAGUAGUUGUCUUCAUGACAUGUUGAUACCAGGUGAUAAUGGUCAGUGAAAGAGAGAGGUUAGUCCUUUGUAUUAGGUGGCAUCCUUCCCUCACACCCAAGCUGCAGGCCCAGCGUAGGAAUGGGACCUCCACAGCCACACAGGUCUCAUCCUGUGUGGCUGUGAAGGUCGCUAUAUGACUCUGGAGGUAGCUAUGUGACUAUGGAGGUCUCGUCCCGUGUGGCUGUGGAGGUCGCUGUGUGACUGUGGAGGUCACGUCCCAUGUGGCUGUGGACAUCUUGUCUGUGUGGCUGUGGAGGUUGCUGUGUGACUAUGGAGGUCUCGUCCUUUGUGGCUGUGGACGUCUUGUCUAUGUGACUGUGGAGGUUGCUGUGUGACUGUGGAGGUCGCGUCCCGUGUGGCUGUGGAGGUCACUGUGUGACCAUGGAAGUCGCGUUCCGUGUGGCUGUGGAGGUCGCUGUGUGACUAUGGAGGUCUCUCUCGUCCGUGUGGCUAUGGAGGUCUGUGUGGGAGUAUGGAGGUCACAUCCCGUGUGGCUGUGGAGGUCGCUGUGUGACUGUGGAGGUUGCUGUGUGACUAUGGAGGUCGCUAUGUGACUAUGGAGGUCGCUGUGUGACUAUGGAGGUCUCAUCCAUGUGGCUGUGGAGGUCUCUGUGACCAUGGAGGUCACGUCGCAUGUGGCCGUGGAGGUCGCUGUGUGACUAUGGAGGUCACGUCCCAUGUGGCUGUGGAGGUCGCUGUGUGACCAUGGAGGUUACUGUGUGCCUAUGGAGGUCGCUAUGUGACUAUGGAGGUUGUUGUGUGACUAUGGAGGUCUCGUCCAUGUGGCUGUGGAGGUCUCUUUGUGACUAUGGAGGUCACGUCCCAUGUGGCCGUGGAGGUCUCUGCGUGACUGUGGAGGUCACGUCCCGUGUGGCUGUGGAGAUCUCUGUGUGACUAUGGAGGUUUCAUCCAUGUGGCUCUGAAGGUCUCUGUGUGACUAUGGAGGUCGCGUCCCAUGUGGCUGUGGAGGUCGCUGUGUGGCUAUGGAGGUCGCGUCCCGUGUGGCUGUAGAGGUCGCUGUGUGACUAUGGAGGUCUCGUCUGUGUGGCUGUGGAGGUCGCUGUGUGACUAUGGAGGUCGCGUCCCAUGUGGCUGUGGAGGUCGCUGUGUGACUAUGGAGGUCUCGUCCGUGUGGCUGUGGAGGUCGCGUGUGUGACUAUGGAGGUCUCGUCCAUGUGGCUGUGGCGGUCUCUGUGUGACUAUGGAGGUCUCGUCUGUGUGGCUGUGGAGGUCUUUGGGUGACUAUGGUGGUCACGUCCCAUGGUCCCAUGUGGCUGUGGAGGUCGUGUGUGACUAUGGAGGUCUCGUCCACGUGGCUGUGGAGGUCUUUGUGUGACUAUGGAGGUCACGUCCCAUGUGGCUGUGGAGGUCUCUGUGUGACUAUGGAGGUCAUGUCCCACAGCUCCAUGGCCUUCCUUGUUCUGUCUUCCACAUCUGAGAGCAGGGAUUGCCCUUAUCCGCAGUGAGCAUUUUGUUUAAGUAGCAGUGAGUUCACUCCAGGCAAUGCUUUGACACUAUAAAUAGACGUGUAUUUGACAUUCACACACGUGUCUGUUGAGCUAAUACAGACAAUCAUUUGAUGAACCUGCUAGUUAGGAAGUAGCUGUGAUGUGAGAAGAGACAGUGCUGGCUGUAGAUAUACACCAAAUUUCCUCACUUGGCUGUUGAUACAAGGAAAGCAUCUUGAUACUAAUAGGAGUAGAAUGCAAAUGAUACUUCUCUACCUCCGAUCAUUGGAUUACAUUCCUUUUCUCUGGGGUGAAUCUUUAAAAUGCUAAUGGCCUGAGUGCACCAACAUGAAGCACACAGUACCAUCUGAUUAGUUGCUUUAUGCAUCCAGAGAGGGUAUUUCUAAAUCUCAAAGUAUGAUUGAGUGUCAAAAAUCCAUUUGGGGGAGGGGCAACUCCUGUGUUGUGCUGCUUCUAUAACAGCACAAAAAAGUCUUCCAGUAUGUUCCUGCCAGCAAGGAGUUGGCAGGGCGGGGAGAAACAAAGGCUGUCGCCUUUCCAGUGAUGAGUGCCUGUAAUAUGAAGCCGGGAGUCCUGACUCAGCACCUACAGCAAACCUGGGUUACCCAGGGCUUGCCACUUGUUUUGAGAGGUUCUUAAAUUCUUAAUUUUAAAAACAAAGUAAAUUGCAGUAUGACUCAUAUGAAUAGUAAAUGUGCACCAAAUAGGACACAUAGGAGGCAGAGUGGGUUAUAAAAUAUUUAGUCAUUUGCCACAACCAGGAAAAGAUGGUUUUAAGGAUAUUGGUUCUUGGUCUAGGAAUUAAAACAUCCAGAAAAUGGUCCUAAGUUACUGUUGAUUUUUGCUGAAGAAAAUACAUUUUCUUCAUGUGUUAUAUAAAAAACUUACUUUGUAAUAAUUAUGUUUGUGGGAUUCACUAAUGUUUAACUACUGGAGCAAAACCUUUGUCGUAAAGUUCUCUUGGUUGUUUGAGGAGACAAAAGGAUGGCAGAUCUUUGACCAAAUUAUGAAGAUAUGGAAUUCAAAGGGAUGGAAUUGAAGAGUUUGAGAAAGGAGUUAAAGUAAAUACAGAAUGUGGGUAGGAAUUCCGUUUCUAUAGUAAGACAAAAUGUAGGGGGAAAGUUUGUAUUUCUUUGUUAUUAUGCUGAUAAUAAGCUUGCUAGAAAACAGGAUUAUAAUUAAAAACAGGAUUAUAAUUAUUCCACAUCCUCUUUUGAUCUUUGUAAAUAUGCAUGUAUUUUAUAUGGUAGUAAUCACUGUAUGUAUUUAACUUUGGUUAAUAUGUAGCAGCUCUCCGAUAUUUAGUAUUGGAAUUAUUAAUACUUGUGUAAGUAUUAGUAAAAUGAAUAGCUUUAUAACUUUAAUUUACCUUUUUUCCUAGGGGUAUAUUGUAUCCUAAUUAAAUUCAGAUUAUUUAUCUAAAGUGUUUUUAUUCUGUAUAUCCCCACAUUUUUCGAACCCCACAUUGGUUCAAAACUUGUUAGAAAAACCAUAUUUCUGUUUAUAAUAUUUCAUAUUGGAAUUGAAUGAGUUUAAGUUUUUGUACCUAAGAUUGGAAAGGAAAUUUUAUUAGAACUGGUAAGAAUGUACAAGCAUUGUUUCUUUGAGGUGAGUAAAAAUAUUGUGAGAAAAAAUUUUCUGCUUCAAAAAAUGGUGUCAGCUGGGCACGGUGGCUCAUGCCUGUAAUCCCAGCACUGUGGGAGGCCGAGGCGGACAAAUCACCUGAGGUCAGGCGUUUGAGACCGGCCUGGCCAACAUGGCGAAACCCCUCCUCUACUGAAAAUACAAAAAUUAACCUGUGCGUGGUGGCAGGUGCCUAUAAUCCCAGCUACUCGGGAGGCUGAGGCAGGAGAAUCGCUUGAACCCGGGAGGUGGAGGUUGCAGUGAGCCAAGAUCCUGCCUUUGCACUCCAGCCUGGGUGACAGAGCAAGACUCCAACUCAAAAAAAAAAGAUUUCUUCUUGUAUUAGGGGUGUUCACAGAAUAAAAAAGAAAGUUUAUUAAUUAAACAAACUGAAGUGAAUUACACAUCUAGCCUGCAGAAAAAUAAAUAGGAAA
rnacentral:lncRNA from 1 species